rnacentral:tRNA from 1 species
GGAAGUGUGUCUGAGUGGUUUAUAGAGGCGGUCUUGAAAACCGUUAUACCGAAAGGUAUCGGGGGUUCGAAUCCCUCCACUUCCGCCA